AGGGUUUGAUUCUGGCUCAGGAUGAACGCUGGCGGCGUGCCUAACACAUGCAAGUUGAACGAAGACAUACCGACGGAAUCCUUCGGGAGGAAGAUGGUAUGGACUGAGUGGCGGACGGGUGAGUAACGCGUGGGUAACCUGCCCUGUACAGGGGGACAACAGUUAGAAAUGACUGCUAAUACCGCAUAAGCGCACGGUACCGCAUGGUACAGUGCGAAAAACUCCGGUGGUACAGGAUGGGCCCGCGUCUGAUUAGUUAGUUGGCGGGGUAACGGCCCACCAAGACGACGAUCAGUAGCCGGCUUGAGAGAGUGAACGGCCACAUUGGGACUGAGACACGGCCCAA
rnacentral:rRNA from 1 species